rnacentral:rRNA from 1 species
GAUGAACGCUGGCGGCGUGCCUAAUACAUGCAAGUCGAGCGAACAGACGAGGAGCUUGCUCCUCUGACGUUAGCGGCGGACGGGUGAGUAACACGUGGAUAACCUACCUAUAAGACUGGGAUAACUUCGGGAAACCGGAGCUAAUACCGGAUAAUAUAUUGAACCGCAUGGUUCAAUAGUGAAAGACGGUUUUGCUGUCACUUAUAGAUGGAUCCGCGCCGCAUUAGCUAGUUGGUAAGGUAACGGCUUACCAAGGCAACGAUGCGUAGCCGACCUGAGAGGGUGAUUCGGCCACACUGAACUGAGACACGGUCCAGACUCCUACGGGAGGCAGCAGUAGGGAAUCUUCCGCAAUGGGCGAAAGCCUGACGGAGCAACGCCGCGUGAGUGAUGAAGGUCUUCGGAUCGUAAAACUCUGUUAUUAGGGAAGAACAAAUGUGUAAGUAACUAUGCACGUCUUGACGGUACCUAAUCAGAAAGCCACGGCUAACUACGUG